GACGAACGCUGGCGGCGUGCUUAACGCAUGCAAGUCGAACGGUGAAGCGCCUUCCUUUUUGGUGGGUGUGGAUGAGUGGCGAACGGGUGAGUAACACGUGAGUAACCUGCCCCCUUCUUCUGGAUAACCGCAUGAAAGUGUGGCUAAUACGGGAUAUUCUGGGUCUGUCGCAUGAUGGGUCUGGGAAAGAUAUUGUUUCGGUGGGGGAUGGGCUCGCGGCCUAUCAGCUUGUUGGUGGGGUGAUGGCCUACCAAGGCGGUGACGGGUAGCCGGCCUGAGAGGGUGGACGGUCACACUGGGACUGAGACACGGCCCAGACUCCUACGGGAGGCAGCAGUGGGGAAUAUUGCACAAUGGGCGCAAGCCUGAUGCAGCGACGCCGCGGGAGGGAUGGAGGCCUUCGGGUUGUGAACCUCUUUCGCCGGUGAAGCAGGCCUGCCUCGUUUGUGGGUGGGUUGACGGUAGCUGGAUAAGAAGCGCCGGCUAACUACGUG
rnacentral:rRNA from 1 species